rnacentral:tRNA from 2 species
GGUGAGAUGGGUGAGUGGCUGAAACCGCUUCCCUGCUAAGGAAGUGUACGGGUAACUGUACCGAGGGUUCGAAUCCCUCUCUCACCGCCA